AGUGGUUGUAGACGCGAAACCUUGCGAUCUACCCUUGAGCAGGUUGAAGGUUGGGUAAAACCAACUGGAGGACCGAACGAAUAAGCGUUGAAAAGCUUCUCGAUGACUUGAGGGUAGGGGUGAAAGGCUAAUCAAGCUGGGAAAUAGCUCGUACUCCCCGAAAUGCCUUUUGGGGCAGCGUUGUAAUAAAGAGUCUACUGGAGGUAGAGCUACUGAUUGGAUGCGGGGGCUUCACCGCCUACCAAAUCCUGACAAACUCCGAAUGCCAGUAGUAUGAUUUACAGCAGUGAGUGACUGGGUGCUAAUGUCCAGUCGCAAAAGAGGAACAACUCAGACCAGCAACUAAGGUCCCGAAGAAUAUGCUAAGUUGAUCUAACGAUGUUUUGUUGCAGAGACAGCUAGGAUGUUAGCUUGGAAGCAGCUAUUCAUUCAAAGAGUGCGUAACAGCUCACUAGUCGAGCGACAGAGCGUGGAUAAUAAACGGGCAUCAAGCAUAUCACCGAAGUUCUGGGCGCGAGAGCGCGGUAGGGGAGCAUUCCAUUCAGCGUCGAAGCAGUUUCGUGAGGAAUUGUGGAGCGUAUGGAAAAGCAAAUGUAGGCAUGAGUAACGAUAAUGCGGGAGAGUAACCCGCACACCGCAAGACCAAGGUUUCCUGAUCAACGCUAAUCGGAUCAGGGUUAGUCGGGUCCUAAGGGUAAGCCGAACGGCGAUCUCGAUGGAUAAUCGGUUAAUAUUCCGAUACUAACAUAUACCUCGAUGGAGAGACGAAGGAACGUAAGUGCCGCCACCUGACGGAAUAGGUGGUUAAAGGGCGUAGGUAUAGGGGCAGAUUAAGAGUUAGUCCUUGCUGAAACCUGACAGUACAGAGAGCCUACGGGCAAUUUGAUAGAGCACCCAAGUCGACUUCCGAGAAAAUCUUCUAAGUUAUAGUAUAUGUUACCCGUACCGUAAACCGACACAGGUGGUCGAGGAGAGUAUCCUAAGGUGCUCGAGUGAAUCACGGUUAAGGAACUAGGCAAAUUAACCCCGUAACUUCGGGAAAAGGGGUCUCUAUGAAAGUAGGGCGCAGCGAAGAGGUCCAGGCGACUGUUUAUCAAAAACACAGGGCUCUGCAAAUUCGAAAGAAGACGUAUAGGGCCUGACACCUGCCCGGUGCUGGAAGGUUAAGAGGGGAUGUCAUCGCAAGAGAAGCAUUGAAUCGAAGCCCCAGUAAACGGCGGCCGUAACUAUAACGGUCCUAAGGUAGCGAAAUUCCUUGUCGGGUAAGUUCCGACCUG
rnacentral:rRNA from 1 species